rnacentral:misc_RNA from 1 species
GAAAAAACUACCAGCCCUUAUUGAAUGCCUUGAGAAGAUUACCAACAGUCAGAUGCAGAACUUGAGGAGAUCUUUGUAUGGUUAUGGAAAUUUUAAGUUGACCACCCAUUUUUCCAAAUUUCGAUUAAGUCAAUCAACAUGGGCAGGAAAAUCUACAAGGGAAAAACAAGUUCUAUUUAACAAGUUUUUAACAACCAGGAAGGUGAACAUCUCUGAAGAAUUAGAGUCUUCAAAAUUUGAUUCUAAAUUUACCAUACCAAAAACAAAGACAUUAGCCAAGAAACCAAACCAAAGAAGCAGACCCCGUGCUGAGAGAACUAGGUCAUUUUUUAAAUUAAAAAAGUCCAAAAGGAAAUCUGCAUGUUCAACAGAUGAAGAUUAAUUCUCAAAUGAGCAUUACCUCGGCAUACAAGACAAACUUAGUUGAUAUUUAUUGUAAGACUCUUGGAAGUGACAUAUUGUACGAGAUUAAAAUAAUUAUGAAUAGUUCUGUGGACUAAUAUCUUUGCAUGCAAUAUAUUAUAUGUCUAUACCAUCAGCAAAUAUAUUGAACUUUUUGCAUCACUAAUGUGCGCUGUGAAGUGUAAUGCUUGACUUGGACUGAUUAGCAGAAACCAUAGUAUACCCAUGUCAUUGUUGAAUUUAUGUCAUUGUUGAAUAUGUGAAAAUAUCAUGAGACUGCUAUAUAAAAUUGCAUAAAUGAU